GAUGAACGCUGGCGGCGUGCCUAAUACAUGCAAGUCGAGCGAACGGACGAGAAGCUUGCUUCUCUGAUGUUAGCGGCGGACGGGUGAGUAACACGUGUAUAACCUACCUAUAAGACUGGGAUAACUUCGGGAAACCGGAGCUAAUACCGGAUAAUAUUUUGAACCGCAUGGUUCAAAAGUGAAAGACGGUCUUGCUGUCACUUAUAGAUGGAUCCGCGCUGCAUUAGCUAGUUGGUAAGGUAACGGCUUACCAAGGCAACGAUGCAUAGCCGACCUGAGAGGGUGAUCGGCCACACUGGAACUGAGACACGGUCCAGACUCCUACGGGAGGCAGCAGUGGGGAAUCUUCCGCAAUGGGCGAAAGCCUGACGGAGCAACGCCGCGUGAGUGAUGAAGGUCUUCGGAUCGUAAAGCUCUGUUAUUAGGGAAGAACAUAUGUGUAAGUAACUGUGCACAUCUUGACGGUACCUAAUCAGAAAGCCACGGCUAACUACGUG
rnacentral:rRNA from 1 species